rnacentral:rRNA from 1 species
AAUUGGAGGGCAAGUCUGGUGCCAGCAGCCGCGGUAAUUCCAGCUCCAAUAGCGUAUAUUAAAGUUGUUGCGGUUAAAAAGCUCGUAGUUGAAUUUCGGGAUCAAUAUUUCGGUCAUGCCGUUGGUAUGCACUGUUAUCAUUGAUUUCUCACCUUCUAAAGAACCGUAAUGCCAUUAAUUUGGUGUUACGGGGAAUUAGGACUGUUACCUUGAAAAAAUUAGAGUGUUUAAAGCAGGCUCACGCUUGAAUACAUUAGCAUGGAAUAAUGAAAUAGGACAUCCGAUUCUAUUUUGUUGGUUUCUAGGAUCGAUGUAAUGAUUAAUAGGGAUAGUUGGGGGCAUUAGUAUUCAAUUGUCAGAGGUGAAAUUCUUGGAUUUAUUGAAGACUAACUACUGCGAAAGCAUUUGCCAAGGAUGUUUUCAUUAAUCAAGAACGAAAGUUAGGGGAUCGAAGACGAUCAGAUACCGUCGUAGUCUUAACCAUAAACUAUGCCGACUAGGGAUCGGAUGAUGUUAAUUUUUUAAUGACUCAUUCGGCGCCUUACGGGAAACCAAAGUGU